ensembl:lncRNA
CACGGGCUGGCGUGUGUUCAAGUGCUUUCUCGAGCCAUCUGCCUCCGUGUCCUCUCUUCAGACGCUCUUGAGAUGUUUCACGUUUUCCCCCCCAUCCUCGUUCUCUGAGUGUCACCGAAAUGCACAUGUCAAUAGCCCUCAUUUUAUAUAUAUAUAUGUAUGUGUGCGAUAAUGUGUGUGUGUUUGCCCGUUGAUUGAGUGGCACCCCAUCCAGGGCAUACCCAGCUUCCCGCCCUGUGCUUCCAGGAUGGGAUCCAGACCACCAGGGCCCUGCAUUGGACAGGCGGUUAUUGAGGAUGGGUGCCGGACAGCCUGUGACAGAAGUAUGACUCCCGCGGCCCUGGGUGAGCCCUCGCCUGUUGUCCACUGUUGUUGCCACAGAAAGAUCUGGUUGCACUCGACAGCGUGCCGCCGCCGCCGUCGCCAGCACCCCCCAUGCAGCAGCUGGUCCGCUCCUCGCCCCUGGGCGCCCGUGACGGAGGAACGCCAUGAAUAGAUACACCACGCUCCGGCAGCUCGGCGACGGCACCUACGGCUCAGUGCUGCUCGGCCGCAGCCUAGAGUCCGGGGAGCUGGUGGCCAUUAAGAAAAUGAAGAGGAAGUUCUAUUCCUGGGAAGAAUGCAUGAAUCUUCGGGAGGUCAAGUCACUGAAGAAACUCAACCACGCCAACGUGGUCAAGCUGAAAGAGGUCAUUCGGGAAAAUGACCAUUUGUACUUUGUGUUUGAAUAUAUGAAAGAGAAUCUUUACCAACUGAUGAAGGACAGGAGUCGGCUGUUCCCUGAAUCUGCAGUGAGAAACAUUAUGUACCAGAUACUCCAGGGUCUGGCAUUUAUUCAUAAGCAUGGAUUUUUCCAUAGGGAUAUGAAACCCGAGAACCUCUUGUGCAUGGGCCCGGAGCUGGUGAAGAUCGCUGACUUUGGGUUGGCACGGGAGAUACGAUCGCGGCCUCCGUACACCGACUACGUUUCGACAAGAUGGUAUAGGGCUCCUGAGGUCCUCUUGAGGUCCACAAACUACAGCUCCCCCAUCGACCAGUGGGCUGUCGGUUGCAUCAUGGCCGAGCUUUACACCCUGAGGCCUCUGUUUCCUGGCUCCAGUGAGGUCGACACCAUUUUCAAAAUCUGCCAAGUACUGGGAACUCCAAAGAAGAAUGACUGGCUUGAGGGCUACCAGUUGGCAGCAGCUAUGAACUUCCGUUGGCCCCAGUGUGUCCCGAGCAACCUGCGCACUCUAAUCCCCAACGCCAGCAGCGAGGCCAUCCAUUUGAUGAGAGACCUCCUGCAGUGGGACCCCAAGAAGAGACCGACUGCCAGUCAGGCUCUUCGGUACUCAUACUUUUAUGUGGGCCAGGCACUGGGGACCCCCCAGCAGAUUCAGGAGCAGGGUAGGCCUCCACCUGCCCCCCUCCCCCCACAGCACCCCCCGCCCCCCCUGCAGCUACUCCAGCCAGCUCAACACUUGAAGCCCGUUCCUCCACCGCACCCCCCGCCCCAGAACCAGCACCACUCCCCAUCGCGACCCUUGCAGCAGAUUCAGCCAGGCCCCACAGCACUGUACCAGCGGCGGGACGAGAUCCUGCAGGAAGCUCGCGAGGAGGCCGAAGGACCCCCGCAGUCCCGAUUUCCCCUCAUUCACGACAAAGGGAUGCAACAGUCGGAGAACGCAAACUUCGGCGACUAUCCAGCUAAGGCGAAAGGUGGCCGCCGACGAUGGGGGCUCGUCCCAGGGCCUCUGAGGGCUGACGAGUGGGAGGAUUACGAGGACAUGGAUACGUCCCCGGGAAACGUCCAAGGCCGACCGAAGCUCCCCGGUGACAACCCGAGGCAAAGGGAAGAGGCCCCGACCAGGUUUGGUGGUGUUCUGGACUUCAGCGGCACCAACGGAAGCAGCAUUGUAGGUUCCACAAACAUGAACAUCGUGCUGCCCUAUCAAGAUCCAGCUGUUUCCAGGACUGCGUCAGCCAAACAGCACUACUUGAAGCAAUCCCGAUAUUUACCAGGAUUAAGUGCAAAAAAGAAUGUGGCAAUAAACUCCAACAAGGAAUACAGCGGGAGCAAUCUGUGGGGCGGUGCUUUGCCAGUCGGAGGAACGCUGCCCACCCGAGGAACCCAGGGUGCCAACACUCUCCCAAGUGGAUACAUGCCCUCUUUUUACAAGAAAGACAUGGGCUCAGUAGGCCAGAGGGUCCAGCUAGCCCCUGUCACGGAUCUACCGGUGUCAAAUUAUGCAACGUGGAGAUCGAGCCGGAGUCAAAUCGGAGUCUCGUCCUAUAUCUCCUCGCCAACCAAGAGCACUCCGGGCCUGAGGCCCCGCCCCCCUAUACAGCCUGUCCACGGGCGCACGGACUGGUCUGCUAAGUACGGGCACCACUGACAGCUCCCCGUGGAUGGUCCUCAUGCAGACACUCCUGUUUUACACCGGUAUUUUCAUAUAAAGCGUGUACAUACAUACUGAUAUGCAGCAAUAAUCUGUUUUGUAUCUGUUUUUUGUAUAUAUAGUGUACAUGUGACACUUUUCUAUAUGGGCAAAUAUGCACUCUGCCAAAAUUGUUCAGUUAACUUGUGCAUUUUAGUCAAACAAUGCAAACUAUCGCAGGGCCAAUGCCAAAUGUCCUUUUUGUUCCAACAUGUAGCGCCAGUAGAUUCCUCCUCCCCUCCGUUAAUUUAAACCAGGGUUAAAAACGUGCUUGUUAAAGGAUGAUGUGAUUUGUUCUGUUAACACAUUUUUUUUUCGACACUUUGUGCGUAGUGGAAAAUGUCGCUGAUCUAAACGGGGUACGUACCAGUGACCUGAAUUUUUAUUUAAACCAUCAUUCUCUUCUGUUACAGUUUUUUUAUUAUUCUUUAUAUGUGUACUUGUUUGCAGAUGCAGGUCUCGUUUGUUAAUUUUCAUUAACCUGUGACAUGGUUCAUUUCAAUGUAACCAAAUAACUUUUCAAAUAUUGAGUUCAUGUGUUUUUAAAGACAUUAUUUAGCAGCUAGCUAGCCAAUGAAUGCUGUUAUUCUUUCCUUCCCAUUGCAAUAAAGUGUUCUGCCUACUGUAAUUCA